CGGUCGCGCGCUCGUUGCUGUGUGUGAAGUGUGUGUGUGUGGUAUAUGUGUGUGUUUACGAGCGCCGCGAUCCCACGUGCGGCGUGUAUGGAGGCGGCGGCCCGCGCGCGGACUCGGCACCCGGGACGAUGAGCGGCGCGCCGCGCGACCCUUUUUACUCCUCGCCAUUCGGCCCGUUCUACCGGAGGCACGCGCCCACCGCCGCGCAGCCGCAGUACCGCAUCCACGAGCUCAACAAGCGGCUCCAGAGCCGGAGCGAGGAUUGUGAUAUACUAUGGUGGGAUGCAUUUUGCACCGAGUUCUUCGAAGACGAUGCGACAUUAACACUCUCCUUCUGUCUCGAGGAUGGACCAAAGACAUAUACCAUCGGACGGGCGCUGAUCCCCCGUUUCUUCAGCACGCUGUACGAAGGAGGAGUGUACGAGCUGUUUUUCGAGCUCAAGCACACAAAAGAGUCAUUCAACAGCUCAACCAUCACUGUAGACUGCCACCAGUGCACCAUGAUAACACAACACGGCAAGCCCACGUUCACAAAGGUGUGCACAGAGGGCCGUCUGAUUUUGGUGUUCACCUUCGAUGACCUCAUGAGAAUCAAGACGUGGCACUUCACUAUCUCGCACUACAACGAGCUCAUUCCUCGCAGCAUGCUGGCCGUUCAUGCACAAGACCCUGGAGCUCUGGAGCAACUGUCCAAAAACAUCAGCAGAGUGGGACUAACCAAUCUCACGCUGAACUACCUCAGACUGUGUAUGAUUCUUGAGCCAAUGCAGGAGCUGAUGUCAAGGCACAAAACAUACGGCUUGAGUCCCAGAGACUGCCUGAAGACCUGCCUCUUUCACCAGUGGCAAAGAAUGACAACACCACCAGUCGGACCUUCACCCAACUUUAAGACAGAAAUUUUUCAGUCAAGUUCCAAAAAAUCCGAAGCAACCAAACCAACAGCAAAGAGAAGAAGAAGGCGGAACUCGGCUGGCAGCGCAUCCAAUAGCAGCGCAGGAAACAGUAAGAAACGCAGCCCAGCCAACAACUUCAGUUUGCCCACGCAGCCCAAACGCGUCGCCGGUGAAUCGAGGGGUGGCGGGUGGCUGGAGGCGGAGCUUAGCUUUCUCUCUCUCUCUCUUUCUCAUCCACCCCCUCCUUUACCCCCCCUUCUCUCUCUUUCUCUUCCUUUCUCUCUCUCUCUCUCUCUCUCUCUCUCUCUCUCUCUUUCUCUCUCUCUUUCUCUCUCUUCUAAUUUAAUUCAGAGCAGCAUUAUUGGAAUGACCAUACCAAGAUACAUUAUUACAUUAUUCUGUAUUCCGCUAUAUUUGUCCAUUUAUCAAAUAAAAUAAUUCGAAAUGACAUUUUACAUCUAUUCUGAUAUACGCAUAUGGAAAUACAUUUCUACACAAAAGAACACAGAGACACACAGAAAUACACACCGCAUGCUGGAAAAAAAAAGCAUUUUUCAAGGCUUCUUGAAAACAGUUGAAGAUUCAGACCAUUCCUAAAGGGGCUGUAUGUAAGGGAAGGGAAAAGGACGUCGGAACAAAAUUCGCUCUUCGGAUACUAUUAAAACGUUCACGGUAUUUAUGAAUAAGCAAGUUUAGUUUACUUGCCUGGAUCGGAUCCUCGAUGUAGGAUGAGAGGUAUGAAUAAAUUCAUGACAUUUGUGCCAUUUUAUCCUAAAAUAAAAUACAGCAUUUAUUUUCGGUAGAUUUUGAAAAUUCUCUAGGUAUAGGCUCUAGACUGCCAUUAAGUUAUUGCCUAUAGUGUAAUAUAUAAUAAAUCACUGAAGAAGGGUAUAACAUAGAUGGCAUUCUGUGUUUUGGAGGCUUUUAUUUUAUUUAUUUAUUUAUUUAUUUAUUUAUUUAUUUAUUUAUUUAUUUAUUUAUUUAUUUAAAAUGGAAAGAAAACAUAAGCAGUAUGGCUCAUCAUUAAAUAAAUAAAUAAAUUCGCCCAUACAUAAAUAAAUCCAUAAAUAAAUAAAAACGAUACUGCUGAUAUCCCCCGAGUUUCUGCUCUCACCUUCCACGGCAUAUACAUGAUUCAAAAACAUGGCUAAAGUUUGUUUAUCAAAUUAUGAUAAUCUAAUAUGUUAUAAUAAUAUUGCAAUUGCGAAUUUUUUUUUUUUUUAAUAAUAAUAAUUCGUCAGCUCUAGUGCACCCAUGCUGUAUAAUGUACUUUAAUAUUCGUCUAAGCAUUUGUGGCACACCUAAAUAAAUACGUGUAGGACAAAAAAGGAAUUUGCGGAAUAUCUGAUCGGUUCCCUGGCACAAAAGAAAACGGCCAGAUAAAAGCAUUAAGGUAUUGGCUGUGUAUUUAUGCUGUAGUUCCGUAUAUUCAAAGGAUAUGUUGAAAAUACGUACAUCUCUACACUGAGGAUUGAAAUGGACAUGAGCAGCAUGCGAUCGAUUGGUUCAGCGUGAUUCGUUCGGUCCGAGUUAAAGACGACGCUGUGUAUUUUGUAGCUGCGUGAGAACGUUUCUCGUUGUCAGGAUAUGCAGCAAACUUUCUUUUAGUCACACUUUUUCUCCAUUUUUCUCUGCCUCCUUCUUUGUUUUUGUAUAUCUCCUUUCUGUGCCUCCCUCCCCCUCACUAUCCCCUUCUCUCUCUCUCUCUCUCUCUCUCUCUCUCUCUCUUUCUCUCUCUCAUAUGCCUCCCUUCUCUCAUUAAAUUCAAUUCAAUGCCAUGUAUCUUUACUGCUUACUGUACCAAUAUUAAGUCUAAUCAUAUAAUCUGAUAUUUUACACACAUCCCAAACUGAGAAUACAGGAAUAUAUUCAUCACAGAGACUAUGUAAUGACUGCUCCUGUAAUCUCAGUGUGCCCACACACUUUUAUGAUGUGAUGGUGGUGGGGGAGCCCUCUCUGAUGGGAGCCGAGUUGGGAGACGUGGACGAGCGUCUGAUCACCAGGCUGGAGAACGAGCAGUACGACCCUGCUGGCGGUCUCCGGGACGACGGUCGCCAUGACUACACCA